CAAAUACAGUAUUGUCUACAGUAACUUAUUAAUCAGUAAGAGUGGCUUGACUUACGAGGUCUGUCAAAUACAGUAUUGUCUACAGUAACUUAUUAAUCAGUAAGAGUGGCUUGACUUACGAGGUCUGUCAAAUACAGUAUUGUCUACAGUAACUUAUUAAUCAGUAAGAGUGGCUUGACUUACGAGGUCUGUCAAAUACAGUAUUGUCUACAGUAACUUAUUAAUCAGUAAGAGUGGCUUGACUUACGAUAUCUGUCAAAUACAGUAUUGUCUACAGUAACUUAUUAAUCAGUAAGAGUCGC